UGGGGGAUAUUGCACAAUGGGCGAAAGCAUGAUGCAGCGACGCCGCGUGGGGGAUGAAGGCCUUCGGGUUGUAAACUUCUUUUGCUCUGAACAAGGCAUGCUAAUGGGUGUGUUGAGUGUAGGGGUUGAUUAGCGCCGGCUAACUACGUGCCAGCAGCCGCGGUAAUACGUAGGGCGCGAGCGUUGUCCGGAAUUAUUGGGCGUAAAGGGCUUGUAGGUGGCUGGUUGCGUCUGUCGUGAAAGCUCAUGGCUUAACUGUGGGUUUGCGGUGGGUACGGGCUGGCUUGAGUGCAGUAGGGGAGGCUGGAAUUCCUGGUGUAGCGGUGGAAUGCGCAGAUAUCAGGAGGAAUACCGGUGGCGAAGGCGGGUCUCUGGGCUGUUACUGACACUGAGGAGCGAAAGCAUGGGGAGCGAACAGG
rnacentral:rRNA from 1 species